AGCUGUAGAGGGAGAUGGGCCUGGCUGCAGGGAGCUAGACACAAGAAAUCCUCUGUUGCCACAAAUUCACUCAGAAAUUGUAAAGUGCAAAGAGAUCAACUAUCAGCUAUUCAACCAUUUCCCCACCAAUAUGCUGAUUCAGCAAGAGAGAGAAAAUACACGGACAUAUAAGAAGACAUGAAAUGAUGACUUUCAAAGAAACAGUUGUACUAACUGGGGCAUAGAGAACAGCCAGUUAAAUUCUCUGAACAAUGGAGCGGCUGCCUGGGUCCCAGCAGCUGGAAUUAGAAAGCAGAAGUAAACAAAUGGCAUAGUGAAGUGCAAUUGCAGAAGAUGUCACCUUGAUGUGUAUCAGCUGAAAUGAAACAUGACAGCCAUGCACUGACCGAAAAACCUGGAGCGCUUGUUCUGCCUCAUAAGUCAUAAGAGUACAAAGGCCACUCGAAUUACCGCUUUUGGAUAGUGAAAGCAAUGUGCAAACUUUACUGGGCCAUUGCAAGUUCACGGUGUUUGUGCUGGUUUUGAAAACUAUCAGAUACAAAGAGCAAAGAGCUCAAGUAUCAAAUGGAAGAUAAUGGGAAAACUGUUAACUGUAUCGUUAAACACACAGAUCUUGGGCCAUGUGUGCAGAGAUCCAGCUCCUCCAUGCUGCUCCCUGGAGUCCCCAUCUCCAGGCAGCAUGGGUAAGUCCUUGUGUCCAGUGGAAGCCCAGAUGCAGCAGAGCACACAUCUCCCACUCUCUGAUUGGUGAUAGGAAUGGGAGUUAGUGCUGCUCUGAACAACACUUGCUUCCAAUGGAUUUUUCAAUGGAAAAUGCACCUGUAUGGGAUAAUACCAUAUAGAUCAACUUUUCCACAUGGUCCUCCUAUAUCUGGCUGCCUUGUGGUGGUCACACAGUGCAGCUUCUGUCUUGGGGUUGUGGGGGGGCGCGUACUACCAUCCUUACUCACACUGAGUAGUACAACCCUCCACAAACAGUCCCCUGAAAUCAAUGGAACUAUUUGUAUAAUGAAGCACUAUUCAAUGUGAGUAAGGGUGGCAAAAUAGAGCCCAGAGGAUGAAGGAAAGAUGCCCCAUAGACCCUACUUCCCUUUUCUGUGCUUCCUGGCCAAAUAUAUUUCUGCUAGUCCCAUCUCCUCUGUUUCUGGAUGUGGACAGGUUGAUGCGACCCCCAAAAGUUUGUAUGAAAACAUAGUGGGGUACCAAGAGGGUAGAUGAACACAAUGAGACCCAUUAAGGCAAAAUUUGUUACACUCAGCUGCUGGAAAUGCUGAAAGUGCUGGAAAUCUCAUUUGUAAUUAAACUGUAUGGAAAAACCCAGUAUUGUACCAAAUGCAUAUGUAUGAGUUUUCUAGGUGUGGAAAAGAGAAGAUUUACGGUAAGCUGUCAUAAAAGUGAUGGACGUUUGUGGACUGAAAACAAAGUAGUAUUUUCCAAAUCAAUCAUAAAGACCUUUCAUUCUGUGCUUCUGCCUGAGCAGAUCAAUAAAGGUUACAAAUGUUUGGAAUAAAGGAAUAUAUAGCAGCUGAAAUUCACUUUUUAAAAUGUGAAAGGUUUGGACAUACA